UACGGGGGGAGCAAGCGUUGUUCGGAUUUACUGGGCGUAAAGGGCGCGUAGGCGGUCAGCGCAAGUCAGUUGUGAAAUCUCCGGGCUUAACUCGGAAAGGUCAACUGAUACUGUGCGACUAGAGUGCAGAAGGGGCAACUGGAAUUCUCGGUGUAGCGGUGAAAUGCGUAGAUAUCGAGAGGAACACCUGCGGCGAAGGCGGGUUGCUGGGCUGACACUGACGCUGAUGCGCGAAAGCCAGGGGAGCGAACGGG
rnacentral:rRNA from 1 species